rnacentral:tRNA from 1 species
AAUGGUAUAUUUCUGUUGGUAGAGCGUCUGCCUUGUAAGCACUAGGCCGCGGGUUCGAUUCCCGCCCGUUC